rnacentral:rRNA from 1 species
UACGUAGGGGGCAAGCGUUGUCCGGAAUCAUUGGGCGUAAAGCGCGUGUAGGCGGCUUGGUAAGUCCGUUCUGAAAGCCCGGGGCUCAACCCCGGGAGGCGGAUGAUACUGCUGAGCUCGAGUCCGGAAGAGGCAAGUGGAAUUCCCGGUGUAGCGGUGAAAUGCGCAGAUAUCGGGAGGAACACCAAUGGCGAAGGCGGCUAACUGGAUAGGCACUGACACUCAACU